GACGAACCGUGCGAACGUUAUUCGGAAUCACCGGGCUUAAAGCGCGUGUAGGCGGAUGGGUACGUCGGUCGUUGAAAGCCCCCGGCUCAACCGGGGAAUGGGCGCCGAAACGACCCGUCUGGAGGGACGUAGGGGGACCUGGAACUUCCGGUGGAGCGGUGAAAUGCGUUGAGAUCGGAAGGAACGCCCGUGGCGAAAGCGAGGUCCUGGACGUCUACUGACGCUGAGACGCGAAAGCUAGGGGAGCGAACGGG
rnacentral:rRNA from 1 species